GGGGAAUCUUGCGCAAUGGCCGAAAGGCUGACGCAGCGACGCCGCGUGGAGGAUGACGCCCUUCGGGGUGUAAACUCCUGUUGCCCGGGACGAAUGCCUGUUUCGACAGGAGUGACGGUACCGGGUGAGGAAGCACCGGCUAACUCUGUGCCAGCAGCCGCGGUAAUACAGAGGGUGCGAGCGUUGUCCGGAAUCACUGGGCGUAAAGGGCGCGUAGGCGGUCGGGUAAGCGUGUGGUGAAAGUCCGGGGCUCAACCCCGGAUCGGCCAUGCGAACUGUCCGACUGGAGCACGGUAGAGGCACAUGGAAUUCCGGGUGUAGCGGUGGAAUGCGUAGAGAUCCGGAAGAACACCGGUGGCGAAGGCGGUGUGCUGGGCCGUAGCUGACGCUGAGGCGCGACAGCGUGGGGAGCAAAC
rnacentral:rRNA from 1 species